rnacentral:rRNA from 1 species
GAGUCGGACCUGCCCAGUGAUAUUUUUAACGGCCGCGGUACUCUGACCGUGCAAAGGUAGCAUAAUCAUUUGCCUUAUAAUUGAAGGCUAGUAUGAAUGGUUUAAUGAAAACAAAGCUGUCUCCUAUUAAUUUCAUAGAACUUGAUUUUUAGGUGAAGAAGCCUAAAUAACAUUGAAAGACAAGAAGACCCUAUCGAGCUUUAAAAAAAUUUAUUAGAUAACAAUAAAAAUGAAUUUAAUAACAAAUUUUAGUUGGGGCGACUAAGGAACAAUCAAAGCUUCCAAUAAUCAUUGCAGUUUAUAAACCUUGAUCCAAAAAAUUUGAUUAAAAAAAUUAGUUACCGUAGGGAUAACAGCAUAAUCUUUUUUAAGAGUUCUUAUCGAAAAAAGGGUUUGUGACCUCGAUGUUGGACUAGAAUAUCCUAACGAUGCAGAAGUCUUUGAGGGUUGGUCUGUUCGACCA